CGGGCUGUAGUAUAGUGGUAGUACGCGACCAUGGGGUGGUUGCAGUCUGAGUUCGAUUCUCAGCAGCCCGA
rnacentral:tRNA from 1 species